UAGUGAUUCUUGGUCAUUUAGAGGAAGUAAAAGUCGUAACAAGGUUUCCGUAGGUGAACCUGCGGAAGGAUCAUUACCAGAAGAGACCCUAACCGGUCCUCUCAACCCUGCCCAUCGUACCCUUUGUGUUUGUUCCCUCGGCGAGGCUUGCAGGCCCGCCGGCGGGAAGAUCAACAAAAUCCUUUGCAAGCAAGCAUCCUGAAAUCUCUGAUCAAAUACAAAUUGUCACAACUUUCAACAAUGGAUCUCUUGGUUCUGGCAUCGAUGAAGAACGCAGCGAAAUGCGAUAAGUAGUGUGAAUUGCAGAAUUCAGUGAAUCAUCGAAUCUCUGAACGCACAUUGCGCCCCUCGGUAUUCCGUGGGGCAUGCCUGUUCGAGCGUCAUUUACACCUCUCAAGCUCUGCUUGGUGUUGGGCGUCUGUCCGUUGCUAUAGGCUAUGGACUCACCCUAAAGGCAUUGGCAGCGGCAUCCGCCGGGCUUUCCCCAUCAGCGCAGCACUGUUCGCGCACCCGGGGAGCCGCGCGGAGGCUGCGUCCAUGAAGCCCCGUCUUUUGCAAGUUGACCUCGGAUCAGGUAGGGAUACCCGCUGAACUUAAGCAUAUCAA
rnacentral:rRNA from 1 species